GCGACCUCGGGCGGGGGGGGGGGCGUGCGUGCGGCCCCUGCCCUCAGCCCUGACAGCAGUGAGUGGCGUGCAGUAACAGCGGGGAGGAAGGCGCACAUCGGGAUCCUGCAGCAUGAAACAAGAACCCCUUCGGAGCGCAGCAGGCCACACUGAAAAGGGUGCAUACCCGGUGCGGUGCUCUGCAUCCCGGGUGGUGCCGAAGAUGUGGAGUGUCGGAGGUGGCAGAAGCGCCGCAGCUUGGGACAUUUCAUCAAAACCAGCGGAUUGCAUUCCUGCACUGAGAUACACACUGGAUUGAAUCCUGGAUUGAAUACUCUGCAUACCUCCACUGAGAAGUCCUUCAGUUUAGCAGCUGCUGUACUCUGCAUUGGACAUUACCCAGAUAAGGCGAACAAAGGGCAAGUGCAAGAAGUCAGCUGUGGAUCAUGGACCGUUUCAUGGCGAUGAUGAUGUGUGGUUUGUUGAGAGGAGUCUUCAGGGACUGAACAUCUGUUUGUAACAUUCUGAAAGAGAAAGAAAUGAGUGUAGAAGAUAGGCAAUAGCACUCAUGUUUUGUGAAAUCUCUAAGCACAGAAGCAGUCGAACAUAAAAUAAGCAUAAAAUGAAUGAUAAUUGUUACAAAAAGGUGUAUAAAAGCAGCUGCAGGAAGAAAACCGUCUCCUAGAUCCCACAAUGGCUGUAGUAAGCUUGAAAUGGCUCAAUAAAGUCUCUGCUAAUACUA